UUCAAUUCUCUUAAUUGCUAUAGGUUCAGCUCGUGCAAUUAUUGUAUGCAACACUUUCUGCUAAAUUGCAGAAAGCUAGUUGUGCUACAAUAAUUACACGAGCUAAACCUAAACCUAUAGUUAUACAACUUGAUCAUCUCAUAAGUAAUGAUAAGCUAGUGCACUCAAAUUCAUAGUGCCAAUAACUUAGUGAUUGGACUCGAAUGGUUAAUGAGCUUCACAGUAGGUCAAAUUAAGCAAAAGUAACUUUACUUAUCUACGGCCAAACUUCGAAUUACUAGGGCCUCUUUC
rnacentral:lncRNA from 1 species